UCCAAAGAUAAACACUCCAUUAAAAUAUUAUGGAAACUCAGUGAAUGCGAUGACUAAGCUGGAGGAAGAUGUGGGGCAUUUGCCUGUAAUCAGUACUUGGAAAAUCAAAGCAGGAGGAGAAGGAGUUCAAGAACAGCCUCGGUUACAGGAGACCAUAACUCAAACAGAACAGAACAAACAAAAAUACAAUACAAAAGCCAAAUUGUAAGUGGGAGAUAAUCGUGAGAAAGGAAACAAAUUGUUCAAAUAACAACAAAAUGAAAUUGAAACUGAGCUGAAGUGUCAUAGAGAUGAUAAGAUUUUGUGGAAGGCAGCUGGAGCUCCUGUGAUCAAAUUACAUGCUAUUCAUCUUGAAAAGGCCAAUGUUUUGCAUUGGCAUAUGUACCUAAUGUACCAUAUGGGCCAUUUCAGAGACAUAUUUACAUACAUGUCAGUGCACAUACAAAGAGAUAUGCAUAUAAAUGUACAUAAAAGUCUCUCAUAUAUAGCAUAUAAUAGAUUCUAAAGACUCUAUGCCAACUAUCACAGUCUGAAUUAAAAAUGGUCUGUUAAUUAUAACUUUUAAUUAGUAUAUUAUAAGUUGUAUAAUGCUGAUGAUGAUUAAACAUAAAUUCCAAUGCCU